UUCACAGAAGCGGAUUUUAGCUGUGCCUCGUGAUGGUUUCUGAGAUGGAAAGCUAAUAAGUAUUAAGGAUGCAAUCAGUGCUUUAAAUUAUUCUUAUUACAUUAUAUUUAUUACCAUUGAGUUACAGUGUGAUUUAGAAAUGGUAGUAACCUAAAUAUCCCAUUUUCUCUCAUUUUUAUAUCACUGUGUGUGUGUGUGUUCACUGUUCACAGUUCUCCUCACUGGUUUCUUUUUAUACUUGGAAAAGAUUUCUGAGAGGUAUUUUUCUAUCAUAUACUUCCCCCGCCCCCACAAAAGCUUCAUCUUCUCUAUAGGCUGCCCCUUAUUUGUAUUUUGAAGAAGUAAACGUGGAUCCAUUAUCUUAGGAAAACAGCAGCUCCGUAAGCCCUGGCACACGUAAUCCUUUCAUCAGGAUUGUGGUUGGAGUCCUUGACCUCUGUUCCUUUUUGCCGUUCCUACCUGCUGAGCUCCAGUGGGGUCUGCGAUGUCCCAGGCGAGUCCUGCUAGUCACUGAUGGUGUGGCUGUGAUGAAUAAGGCACAGCUUUGAGGAGUUCAGAGUCUAGUCAAAGGCCGCAAAGGCAGAGGCAGGUACAAAAAAAGAGCAGCCACAAUAAAGGCCCUUCCAGAAAACUUCCAACAAACGCUCUGUGUUCUGGGUGGAUGCCAUAUUGUUUUCCUCUCUGCCGUAGCCUCUGUAGCCGGUGGUUUUAAGAAUCUGGUUGCAGGGGCGCCUGGAGCUUCUUUAGCCACAAGUACUCCAGUCUGAAGCUUGGACAAAACGAUAAGAUAGCAAUUUUGAGUAGUAGGAGCUCCACUGGCCUUUUGCACCUUACCUUGCGGGGGAGGGCAAGCCUGUGGCGGACAUGGAGUUGCCCGUGAACGACAGUCGUGGAGCUAAGGGGCUGAUGUGGAUGCCUGGUCAUACAUUCUGGCUUGGGAAAAAGUGUUAUCAAGAAAGUUAACUCGUUCAUCUCCUGUGAGUUGCUGGCUUACAGGACUACUUUUGAGGGUCCCAUUUUCUGAGGGUAAGAGUCAUUUAAAAGGGGACAGACCGAUCCUAAAUGAGUACCCCAGGGUCACUGACUUUGUUUCCGGCUCACGUCUUCCUAGUAAAGCACCAGCUGGGCCUCGAACGGAUCAUUCUGAAAGCAGUAUCCAGCCACGUGUUUGCUUUUACCACACGGAAGGCAGAGACUUCCCAUCUUAAGACGGGAAUGUAGACAUUCUUCAGCCUCCAGGAAGUUACAGACCCCUUGCCAAUACUUUUAAAGCUACGAACCCUUUCCUCUGGGAUGCACACAACACUAAAUACACCUUCGGGGGCCAUCGUCGUCCACGAAGCUGUGCUCUUGUGGCUGGAGACCAAGGCGGCACGGCACAGAACGGAGGCCCCUUUGCCCACGUGGAAAGCUGCUGCGUGUUUACUUAGUGAAAUCGUGUUUGGCACUCUUGAGCAUGCUCUACCUUUUGAGGAAUGGAUUUCAUUUUGUAGAGUCAGGCUGAAAAAGUCAACUAAGAGAGUGCGUGUGGCUGGCAGUGGCCCGGAGCGACCCCGUCCGGCUUCUCUUAGAGUGUGGGUGAGGGUGAGCACAGCCCUUGUCAAAUGCUUUGUCCUCCUUUGUAGCUGUGCUGUGAAAAUGCUAGAACUUCCAGCUGUGCGGCAGGGCUUGCUGCACGUCUGUGUUUCGCUCGUAGAAGCUACCUGUUCACUGAGCAUCCUCUCCUAUCCAACAUUGAGCGGAGGUGGGCUGGGGGCACUGCCGGCCUCCGUCCUGUGACAGGGAGUUCUGCUCCUGGGGGGUGGAUUGCCGCAUGCGUUUUAAACUGUGUUCGCGUUGGUUUAUUUUGCUUAUUGUCAGUCCCAGUUGAUAGAAUAUCUACAAUGAUGGGAGUUGUUACCUAGUGCUGUAUCGCAGGCUCCUACCACAGCGACUGGCUGGAGUGUAAUGGACAUUGUGUAAAUAUUUGGUGAACACAUGAACACACUGUUAGGAGAAGUCCUAGUUUGUUGGCAACUGUGUUGAUUUAAAAGGCAAACCGUCCUCGGCAGGAGACGAGAGGGGAGACUCAGCCUCACGGUGGAGAGAGGAAUAUUUCUGUAAAUGACUAGGGCUCUACAUGUAAGUAAUGACAGUCCUUGGCUUUUUACUGUGACCUGACCACUUUCCAAGUUCAGUACAAGUUCAGUGUUGCCUUGCAGUGAUGAAAAUUUUUUUUUUUUUGAAAUUGAAGUUGUAAAGCCCCUGAUCUCUGUUAUUUCCCAGAGCGACCUCUUGAAAAGGAACAUUGAUUGAAAUGCGCAAUUGCCAGUAAUUGGGGGUUCUUCUGAGGGCGUGGAGAUGAAGUGGCUCCUUCUGGGCGAUCGUUGGCCGUUUGGUCCUGUUAUUCACAAGUGAUGUGAAACCUUUAAAAAAGAUUGGCAAAGAUGAUAUUGUGUCAUUUGUGGAACAUAAUAGAUGUUAAUUCGUGAUUGCUUUGUUCAGCCUGCUGGAAAUGAAAUGUAUUGUUUCAGCGUUCUCUCUUUAGCUGUAAAAAUACUCUGUCACUGAAA